GUCGUGUAUAUUGGCUACAGUAGGUCCAUUAUAAAAAUAGGAUGUGCACCUAUAUGGGAUCUAUUGAUCUUGGUAGAUAGAGAGAGGUCCUAUGCAGUUCAUGAGAUUGAGUCUUAAAAUCUAUGGUCAUAGUAGGUGAAUGAUGAAAAAGAGUUUUCAUAAGGUUUCAUAUAGAAUCGAGUCGAUUAAAUUUGAUAUAUGACGGACGAACAGGUUUGACGAGUUAUCCUUGAUUUACAUUUUAUCAGGACCCAUGAUAGAAGAAUCGAACUAUACAGUAAUUACACCAAGAGAUUCAUUACUUUCAUUCUAUUGGAUUGCCACAACAUACUGCUAGAUAUUACUAGUGGAUUGUGAGACUCGUCGAGCGUCGUCUUAAUAAUCGAUGAUCCUUGAAGGGCAGAGUUGAAAUUAUUCCAACCCAUCGAAAGGAGU
rnacentral:lncRNA from 1 species